rnacentral:rRNA from 1 species
GACGAACGCUGGCGGCGUGCCUAACACAUGCAAGUCGAACGAGUGGAACCCCUUCGGGGUGAAGCUAGUGGCGGACGGGUGAGUAACACGUGAGGAACCUGCCUCUCAGAGUGGGAUACCGUUUGGAAACGAACGUUAAUACCGCGUAAUGUAUAUUGAUCGCAUGGUCGAUAUACCAAAGAUUUAUCGCUGAGAGAUGGCCUCGCGUCUGAUUAGAUAGUUGGUGAGGUAACGGCCCGCCAAGUCUGCGAAUCAGUAGCCGGACUGAGAGGUUGAUCGGCCACAUUGGGACUGAGACACGGCCCAGACUCCUACGGGAGGCAGCAGUGGGGGAUAUUGCACAAUGGGCGAAAAGCCUGAUGCAGCGACGCCGCGUGAGGGAAGACGGUUUUCGGAUUGUAAACCUCUGUCUU